GUUCUUUCAGCGUGCUUUCCAGCUCUGCGCAGAUAGCAGAGACAGCAGGCUGUGAUUGAACCACCAUAAUUUCACAGACUCGGUUUUCAGCAAAGGUACUUGGUCAGGUUUAUUGCUGACGAGGCAUGGUACUAAUGCCCUGGCUCAAUGGUUACAGGUACACUAACACAUGUGUUGGGGUCCACUAGGCAUAGCUACCAGGUAACUCGGGAGAGUGGAAGGCCACAAGUGCCGAUGAAGCUCUUUUGCUCUGGGCCUAUCUGAACCCCCAAACUCCAUCUUGGGAACUCUCACCUACUUCUAUGCUAACUGCUUACAUGCUCUGAAGUAGGCUGAAGCAGAAAUGUAUUGGUCAGCGUUUCUAGCAGAUGGCUGCAGUUUCACUCACACUAGCAGAAAUAAUAGAGAUAAGAAGCGGGGUAGUUAGUUUGCAGGCGUCUAACUCAAGGUCGCAAAGAUUGAGAAAGUUUUCUCACAAGCUUAUGUAGAGCUUAUUGUAACAGUUGUCUGGAAGGGAGGGGUAAGGGGAACAGCCAGACAAAGAGAUGUAUGUAAACAGUUUGGAGUAUAAAAGGUAAAAGUUGUUUGUAUUUGUUGCACUGGAUUUGAGACAUGCUGGUCUCCUAGUGCCAUUUCAGAGCUCUGAAAUAAACUUGGCUUGCUUUCUCCCCUCGGUGUCUUUAUUGGUGCCAAGCACACCGGGCGACGGACCAUUGUUGUCCCCUCGAGCCCUUUAGGGCAGGCAACAGUUUUGGCGUCCCUGGGUGGGCUCGAGGCUGAAAUUUAGCCUUGCCCGGAUCCCUCCUGGUGGCCGACGGAUUACAGCAACGACCGUCGCCCAGCGCGCACCGGUGAGUUCAUCGGGGGCCUCAGCGGAGACGUGGUUUGCUCGACCCCGGAGGGCACAACGGUGCAACGCACACAGACAGUGGAGAAGCAGCUGCGGGUGACGGUGAGGAACCGGUCCCGUUGAUAAGGCGACGGUGACGGUGCAGAACCGGACCCUUGGAUAAGGUAUACCAAAGAUUCACAGCCUCUUCUGCUGGAUACUCCAGUCCACUCCCUGCAGCCUGGUGACUCCGUUCUCGUGUGGACCUGGAAGGACGAGCCUCUUCAAGAGAAGUGGAAAGGACCCCACACUGUCCUGCUUGUCACCCAUACAGCGGCAAAGGUCGAAGGGCACAAGAACUGGAUUCAUCACUCUCGACUGAAAGCAGUGCCCGCUCCUAAACAGUGGACUGUCCAGCCUGCGGAGAAGACUGCUAACGACGAUUUGGGACUUAAGCUGUUAUUCAAAAGACAGUAAGGGUCACUGGGAAUGCGUUGUGAUCGUUCUGAACAGUCACAGCAUACUCCCCGCGAGAACCCUGAGCAUUGGUUUUAUUUUCUCACAGAAGGCCGACCUGGCCUAUGUAUUUGGUCUUGUUAUUUUUUGACUUGUUUAGUGUCAACAAUUCUUCUUAUCUUCUGGGCAUUUGGGUUGUUGUAAUUGUAUGUGCCCUUAUUGGAGAAGAGUGUUGCACCUAUGUCCCAGAGUUUUCACAGGACAUUAACAAGCACAUCUUGUCAGCUGAACGGGCCUUUAACCAGUGGAAGGCCCAGGAAGGAGAACCCACUAUUUUGGAUUCCCUUUGGGGUUGGAUACCUGGUUUAGGAGAACUAGGGGAUAUAGGGGGAAACAUUGUUCACAUCUUGCUCACAGGUGUUGUGGUAUGUUUUGUUCUUGUUCUUUUGCGCAUUUGCUGUAAAGUGCUCAUACGUAAGAUUUGUACCUCCCAUACCCCAGAAGUUCCCUUAUACCCUCUCAUUGAUAAUCCUGAUUGCAUGGAGCUUAAUCACAUUUUGUCUUUAGAGUAUGAGAAAACUCUGACAAAGGUUUGUUGAGUGUUCUCAAAGGAGGGAUUGUUGGGGUCCACUAGGCAUAGCUACCAGGUAACUCGGGAGAGUGGAAGGCCACAAGUGCCGAUGAAGCUCUUUUGCUCUGGGCCUAUCUGAACCCCCAAACUCCAUCUUGGGAACUCUCACCUACUUCUAUGCUAACUGCUUACAUGCUCUGAAGUAGGCUGAAGCAGAAAUGUAUUGGUCAGCGUUUCUAGCAGAUGGCUGCAGUUUCACUCACCCUAGCAGAAAUAAUAGAGAUAAGAAGCGGGGUAGUUAGUUUGCAGGCGUCUAACUCAAGGUCGCAAAGAUUGAGAAAGUUUUCUCACAAGCUUAUGUAGAGCUUAUUGUAACAGUUGUCUGGAAGGAAGGGGUAAGGGGAACAGCCAGACAAAGAGAUGUAUGUAAACAGUUUGGAGUAUAAAAGGUAAAAGUUGUUUGUAUUUGUUGCACUGGAUUUGAGACAUGCUGGUCUCCUAGUGCCAUUUCAGAGCUCUGAAAUAAACUUGGCUUGCUUUCUC